rnacentral:rRNA from 1 species
GAUGAACGCUGGCGGCGUGCCUAAUACAUGCGAGUAGAACGCUGAAGGAGGAGCUUGCUCUUCUGGAUGAGUUGCGAACGGGUGAGUAACGCGUAGGUAACCUGCCUGGUAGCGGGGGAUAACUAUUGGAAACGAUAGCUAAUACCGCAUGACAACAGUUAUUGCAUGAUAACUGUUUAAAAGGGGCAACUGCUCCACUACCAGAUGGACCUGCGUUGUAUUAGCUAGUUGGUGAGGUAACGGCUCACCAAGGCGACGAUACAUAGCCGACCUGAGAGGGGGGUCGGCCACACUGGGACUGAGACACGGCCCAGAGUCCUUCGGGAGGCAGCAGUAGGGAAUCUUCGGCAAUGGGCGGAAGUCUGACCGAGCAACGCCGCGUGAGGGAAGAAGGUUUUCGGGUCGUAAAGCUCUGUUGUAAGGGAAGAACGAGUGUGAGAGUGGAAAGUUCACACUGUGACGGUAUCUUACCAGAAAGGGACGGCUAACUACGUG